rnacentral:tRNA from 1 species
UAUAAAGUAGGUUAGAGGAAACCUUUGGGCUCAUAUCCCAAAAAUAUUGGUUUAAACCCAGUCUUUAUAUUU